rnacentral:rRNA from 1 species
AGGGAUGCUACCGGGCGACCGGAUGCGGAUCUCGAAAGACCUGUCCCAGUUCGGACUGGAGUCUGCAACCCGACUCCACGAAGUUGGAUUCGCUAGUAAUCGCGCAUCAGCCAUGGCGCGGUGAAUACGUUCCCGGGCCUUGUACACACCGCCCGUCAAGCCAUGGGAGCCGGGGGCGCCUGAAGUCCGGGACCGCGAGGACCGGCCUAGGGCGAAACUGGUAACUGGGGCUAAGUCGUAACAAGGUACC